UACAGAGGUUCCGAGCGUUGUUCGGAUUCACUGGGCGUAAAGGGUGCGUAGGUGGCGUGGUAAGUUUGAUGUGAAAGCUCAGGGCUUAACCCUGAAAUGGCAUUGAAUACUACUGUGCUGGAGGUUUGGAGGGGGGACUGGAAUUCUUGGUGUAGCAGUGAAAUGCGUAGAUAUCAAGAGGAACACCAGUGGCGAAGGCGAGUCCCUGGACAACACCUGACACUGAGGCACGAAAGCUAGGGGAGCAAACAGG
rnacentral:rRNA from 1 species